rnacentral:lncRNA from 1 species
UGAAAAACCCUCCCCACUGUUUUGUGUAACCCAUGACUUUUUUACCCCUAAAUUUAGACACCGAAGUUAAAACGUGUUGCAGAAAUUGAUUUGGUGGUGAUCUUUUAAAGUACAAACCUAGGUGGCUAUCAAGAUGUAGGACUCCAGCUCCCUUUUUCCCUCUCCAUUCGUUUUGUUUGAUAUCUGUGUAAGGUACAAUAUAAAAUCUACAAAAAAUUGGGAAAAAUCUAAUUGUAGCAGAGCAUGGCGGGAUUUAAAGCUUACCCCCAAAUAUUUUGGGUUUUCGAUUUUGUAUUUAAUAGGAUCUUGAAAAACAUAAAUGUAAACUCGAGUUGGUAAAGAUAACGAAGACUGUUAUAGAAAGUUUUUUGCAGAUAGCAAUCUCUUUUUACAAUAGUUGUUAGCGAUGUGGUUGCCCG